rnacentral:siRNA from 1 species
UUACGGAAGAUGGAGUGAUGC